UCCAGCAUCUCCUCAUUCAGGUCCCUCCCUCGCCCGCCUCCGGUCUCCUCUCCAGCAUCUCAACACUCAGGAUCCCCCCAGGUGUCCCCUCGGCGUGUCCCCACUCGGGUCCCCCCCCUCCCCAGGUCUCCUCUCCAGCGUCCCCGUUUUCAGCCCCCCCCAACGUCUCCCUUCAGCAUCUCCUCAGGUCUCCCCCCCUCCCUCCCCCCCAGGACUCCUCACCAGCGUCUCCCCCUAGGUUCCUUGCCCUGGGUCACCACCCUCAGCCCUCCCCACCCCAUAUUGUCCCUUUGCAAAGCAGCGGAAGCUCUUCCAGGCUAAAGGAGUGUUGUAUACAUCUGAGCAGGCUACGUACUUACUGUUCAAAAGGAAUCUUCGGAAGGUCUGUUAGAGCUUGACAUCAGGGGCUUAGGUGUACAAAAGUCCCAGGCUGGAAAGAUGGGUGACAGUAGGCAAAGGUGGUCUUCCAGUGGGUCUCGGUCCAAGGACUUCAGGCUAUGUCCCCAGUGGCGUCGUGGCUCUGGACCCUGAUGAGGGAAGGCGUGAUGGCAGGUUUGUAGGUGAGUGGGGAGGGGUGGCCUGGAGACAGACCGCAGCCUAGUUGAGGCACAGGAAGAGAGCUGUGACGUCUGGCAUUCCCGCGAAGCUUGGUGUCCCACGUCUGUUCUGGCCCCACCGCUGUCUGUGCCAUAUUUGUGCUACUGGGUCGCUACGGGGUCGGUUGCUCAGGGUGGCCCUACCACUGCCCUAUCCUGCUGGGCCUCUGAGUUCCUGCCUUAAGACUACUUCUCAUCCCUUCCUGUUGGCCGUGUGCUCGUGCAUUCCCUCCUUGCCUCCCCGAGUCCUCUGGACCCGGGCCUGCGUGGGGUGUGGGGUGUGCAGGUGGGAACCUUGUCUAGCCCGUUGCAAACAAACCAGGGGCAGCACACUCUGCGGAACCCAGAGGACCCCCAGUAGAACCUUGGGCCAAGGUUCCGCGGGGCUGGACGUUGGGGGGAAGAUCUUGUCAGGACAGAAUUUGAUUAUACAUCUAACAGCACCCCCAAAAGGCACUAGUCAGGAUCUUUCCAUGACACCCAUUUAUCUUGGAAAACAGAAGCCCGGUGACUCUGCGCGUUGGAUGGAAUAAGGCACCAGGCGGCCAAAUCAUCCGUCAGCAGGCUGGGCCCUGUGCGCACCCCUGUCCGGUCCUCGCCGCUAGGUGGCGCCGCAGGUGCGCGUGAGUUCCAUCCCUGGUUCCCAGUCUCAGGACCCCUUAACUAUCUUCAACGUUGUUGAACUUCUGUCAUGUGGUGCUGUAUAGGGAGGGGCAUAUACUGUGUUAGAAGUGGAAACAAAUUUGUUGCGCAUACUUUUUUUUUUUUUUUUUUUUUUACUUAAACAAUGAUAGGAGCACCUGGGCGGCUCAGUUGGUUAAGUGUCUGACUUCAGCUCAGGUCAUGGUCUCAAGGUUCCCAAGUUUGAGUCUCACAUCGGGCUCUGCACUGACAGUGCGGAGCCUGCCUGGUAUUCUCCCCCUCUCUCUAUCUGUAAAUAAAUAAAUAAACUUAAAACAAAAAACGAUAAUAAAACCCACUACACACGAGCACUCCUUUUUAAGAAAAAGCAGUAUUUUACCCAAAUUUACAGGUAUGUUUUACAUUUAGGCCGAUCCCUUGAAGGCAGAGCUGUGCUCUCCACUCUCCUUUUGCCCUCGUCCCUACCAACAUCACCAUCGGGUAGCCUCUGGAGCGCGCUGCUGGGCCCUUUCAAGAGAACAGGUGUGAAAGGCCGUUCUUGGGGCGCUCGGUGGCUCAGUGAGACAUCUGACUUUGGCUCAGCUCAUGACCUGGCUGUUCGUGAGUUUGAGCCCCGCAGAGCCCCACACAGGGCUCUUUGCAGGCAGCGCAGAUCCCACUUGGGAUCCUCUGUCCCUUUGUCUCUCUGCCCUUCCCUCACUCAUGCUGUUUCUCUCAAGAAUAAAUAAACUUUAAAAAAAAACCAGGCAAGUUCUUAGCAGUCCCCACAGCCCUGCAACUACCUCGACAAGCAGACACAGCUGUCAGCUGCCUCGUGUCCUUUUUGGUAUUCUGUCUACAUUGAUUUGCUGCAUUUUCAUUUUAUUUAUUUAUUUUAUUUCCUUUUAUUUAUUUUUUUUGUUAAAGAGCGGGAGGACCAGACGUAAAAUAUUUAAUAUGCUUUUAUGGGGAGAAAUGAACUUGCAGCAGUCUGAUUUAUAAUCAAGGUUACUCUGCACAUUCAGGAGCUGCCCCUUUCACUCCUGCCGAGGCCCGGAUUAUUUGAGAUUCCCAGAAGUCACCGUCUCAAGAAACCCCGAGAAGGAUGGCAAUGCUUUGGUGGGGGAGCCGCCUGGAGCCCCAUGGCCGUCUGGAUCUGACACAUCGCUGCUUCUGGUGACACCUGCUUUGUGGUGAAGGUUGCUUCCUGCUUUAAAAAAGUACGUCUGGCUCCAGUCACCCCUGAUGCGCCUUCAGCUGAGUAACAGUCUAGGCUCUUGGCUUUUGAUGUUCUCAGCGAGCUUCUGGACACAGGCUGAUGGACGGACGACAGCUUUACACACCUCUCUGCAGGACCCGCGGCUGAGGCAGCCGUGCGUGGAGCCGGCAAGAUGUGACUGCUGGUUCUAGCCGCUUCUGGUGAGAGCGUUUCUUGGCCCUUCACCCGUAGCUUCUUCCAGACCCUCGGCCUGGAGCCCCCGCGUUGUGACAUCGUCUAGCAUUUAAAGCAGAGACAGAACCGACUCUGCUCCCCAGGAAUUGAACUUUUGUGGUUUGUCUUCAGAAAAGCAAACCACAUGCUGAGUUGGACUCACGUGGACUGCUUUAGCUGUGGGUGAAUAGCCAGAGCUUCCCCCCUUCCUUCUUCCCCCGUGGGGGCUGGCGGAGCUUUUGCUGUACGUGACCCAGGCCACCCCAUUUUACUCCCGAAGAGCUCAGAGUUGUCUGUGUCAAAAACAGAGAAGUAAGGGAAAGAGGAGCAGGACGGCUCCCUGCUAACCAGGCACCCGUGAGCCUUCCGGGCCCUGGGAGGUAGGCUCGCAAGUGUUCUGGUGUCUCGGGGACCGGUCUGGUGUUUAUUGUGGAGAAAGACUGCCGGGUCCGCACUGUGGUGUUGUCCUUUCCUAGGCGUGUGGCUUUAGUUUCUGGAUGCCCCGGUUGCCUCAUUUGUGAACUGGGGUUAAUGAUCUCCACUCCCGAGCGUGCCAAGAUGAGAUACGGUAACAGACAGUUAGCUUAACCAUAGGUUGAUGGUUAGUGCCACAGAAGCGUCAGCCUGAGACGAUGCGAGUGGUGAUGUUGGUGACGACAGCGAUGCCGGUGGUGAUGAUGGGCCUCACAGCCUUGGCUGCACCCUGUCUGGGAGCUACUGCUAAUGGGCCAGGACCCAGCCUGAGGAUUCUGACCCCCACCUCUUAAGCCCAGAGGACCCGCUCUAGCUCUCUUCUUUCCGACCACUUGAGGAGAAUGUAUUCUUAUUCCAACUGGAAGAAACGCUGAUGCGUCGGGGCAGACCCUUCAACUUGUGUUACUGUCACAGCAACCGAUCAGGUGCCCUGAACACAACCGUGGUUUGGCUGAAAGAGUCAACUGUGGGGCGGCGGGGUGCUGGGCGUAGAGGAGAAGGGCAGCGGACACGAGCACAGUGCUUAUCUAAGCCGCUCAGUACCGUCCGUAUCACCAGGGCUCCAGGAAGCGAUUAGCUGAAUGGUUUCCGUCAGAGGAUGUUUUUGUGACCUCUCCUUGCUCAGGGCGGCCCGGACCGUGAGGCCCUGGCCUGGCUGGCGGAACACGGGAGGCUGUGGCAUAUCCGGCCCCCUCUCCUUCCUAAGCUCUGUCACUGGCUUCCUGGAGCGAGGACCCGACGUGGUCCCUCUCCUCUGCUCCACAGUGGGCUCCGGGCUGCCGUGGGGGCCACACUCUUCUCCUGGCUCCUUCUGCAUUGGGUGUUCUAAGCAUCCUCACUCGGGAGAUCGAGUGGCUCUUAAAAGAUCUGCCGUGGCCCGGUCUUAGAGGAAAGAACAGAGUCCACACAGCAGUGACUCCCGUUGGCCCAGGAGGACUGGUUAUAGCUGGGUGAUGGGGCGAGUGCGCCAUGGUUAGAGGCCUUGAAGGGAGCGGGAGAUGGCACUCCAAAACAUGCCACCUUGGCCUGAGGGUUAUUUUGAGCUGCAGAUAGUUGAGACUCAGACGCAGAAAGAAUCCUUGUCGGAGCCUCCCCUAUCUGACUACCAGAAGCAACUUCUGGGAAGUCAGGCUGCCACCAAGUCCUUCUGUAGGGCAGGUCUACUCCCACAGGAGAUCCCACGGGUGAACCUAUCCCAGGUCUCUUCUCCGGGGGUUUUAUGGCCCUGAAAGGGCCUAAGAGGCCACUCACACCUGUAGAGACAAGCGGUGUCACCAACUUCCUUACAUCUCACUUAUUCUCCUGAAACACAUUUGUCUUUCCUGCAGAAGUCUGUUUGUUCCAACUUUAAGAAGGAUCUUUCUCCCCUCCCCCUCUCCCCUACCAAGUUAGGUAUAUAAACACCUAACUGAAACUACUGAACCCACUGUUUGUCUUGGCUCCCGUGGGCGCGUGACUAACCUAUUUUCUUUUGUUAAUCCGUUGCUUGUCAGUUUAAUUCACAGGCCCCACGCACGUAACAUCAGAGGGGCUCCUGCAGCCUUCUUGACAGAGGCUCCCCAGCUCCGCCAGUCAUGGGGGUGGGGCGAGGGAAUGCGGGUGGAAGGGGGGUGGGGGAUGGGUGCUGGGACCGAGGACCCCUACACCCUCCAUCUGCCUUUCUUUCCCCCAUGUGUGACAUCACGCUCACAAAACUCAGCAGGAUGAGUGGAUAGAUCAAGAUCGCUCAUCGUGUCCUUGGCAGACAUUGUCACGUUGUGAAGGCAGAGAACUGAAGGAACACGGAGCCCACAGCGCGGGGAGCGGCAGGGCUGGUGGCACGACCUUGAAGCGGGAGAAGGCGUCUUUUGCGUUCGGGACUUGUCACUAUUUUAAGCAUCAUGGUGACAUCUGGUAUCGCUUACAUGUUGUCUCUUUCAAGCGGUAACCAUUUUUCCCUCUGAAUGCAGGCAGCGUCUGGUUCCGAAGGCCUUUUCCAGAAUUUCUGGUUGCCACGGGCUUUCGUUUGGAUGGUUUGGACGGGUUCCGUCACUCUGGCUCAAGCCGUCCGCCUGGUCUCUGGGUCACUGCUUACGCUCUGUGCUAGCUGGGAUCCCUUUCAUCCAGAUCUACUGGAUGAUAACGUCCCUUGAUCCAAGAUCCUUAACUAGGGAUCACCCAGGAGAGAGGCAAAAAGCUGAGCCGGCCCCUCCUGCCUGUUUCCAAGCAGUGAGCGAGGCUGCUGCGCCAUGUCCGGCCCAUCGUCCUGCAGGGUGGGCUGUGCCGGCAGGCCCUGCGAGCCUCCCCACCGAGCACCGGGGACCCCCCUGCGCCCAGACCAUGGGACGCCCAGAGCCUCCUACGUUCGGGGGCUCGAGAAAGACCAGCGGAAACAAAAGGCCCACUUUAAAAAACGCACAAAGGGCUUAACGGACAUUUCCCGAAAGGAGAGACACAGACGGCCAGCGGGCCCCCGAAAAAAACUCCUCGCAGAAUGUGGGUCACAGCCACCCCGAGGUACCGUUUCACACCCACUGUGGUGAUGACAAGAAAACGCGAAAUAACGAGUUCUGGCGGGACGGGAAACGGCGCGGCCGCUGUGGAAAACGGCGUGGUGGUUCCUCAGCAGGUGGAACGUGGAGUCACCGUAUGGCCCGCCAUCCCGCUCCCGGGUGCACGUCCAAGGCCAGCGAGAGCAGGGGUCUGAACGGAUCGCCGUACGCCCAGGCUCGUAGCAGGUCUAUUCACAGCAGCCAAAGCUUCAGACGACCUGAGUGUCUCUAGACGGACAGAUGGCUGGGCACACGUGCCCUGUCCACGCAGGGGAGGGGAGAGGGUGGCUGUGGAGGCGGAGCCCAGGACCGGCCUUUCUCCGCAAGGUCUCCGGGGCCAAGAGCUGCCAGCUGGCGUCUCGGAGGAGACCCCCCCCCUCCCCCCAGGCCAGGAGGAGGCUCGGGGGCAUAAACACAAGCACGUCUUGGCCUCGUGUUCAGUGACAGGGUGUUCAGGGAGCCGCAGGACAGUCUGAAGGCUUCACACGAGGCAGUUCUCCGGGCAGGAUGCGGGGCUGCUGGGGCCCUUCCCAGCAGGAUCCCCGGAGAACUCCAAGUUCGGUCUCUACAUUUUCAUUAAGAGCUUCCACCCGGGGAGAAUGAUGGAUUAGAUUUUGCUGUUGGAAAGAAGCCAGAUAAAAUUAGAUGCCUCUUGGCUCCCCACCACCCACCCCUUGCCCCUGUUCUUUUCUGAAAGCUUUACUUUUCUCUCUCGGUUCCUGGCAGGAAGGAACCGAGCGGGUACGGUCGCUUCCUUGAGCCUCCCUGCUUUAAUUUCAAGUGUGAUUUCGCUGUUGCUCUAAUUUUCUUCUGUUCUGGAACAGCUUUGGGCCUUGGGCUCUGCAUUGGGGGUGUGUGUGCGCGUGUGGUUUCUGUUUUCUUUUCAGUAACCUUGUUAGAAUUUAUAGCUGGAAACGGAGAGAAUACUCUGCCUCACAAAAGAAAUUCAUCUGAUUCCUCACGUCUUGUUUCUUCUCUCCAAGUUCUCGUUCUUGGCCAAGCUAACCUGCCGUCUCAUCCACCUAAAUAGAAUCGGGUUUGCCUCCCAGCCAGCCACUUUGUAGCAAAGCCGGGUUCUGACGGUCUGCUGUCUUCUGUUACCGUGCGCCGACAGUGGAUUUCAAGAAGAGCUGUUGUGUUUUCCCAGUGCAGGAAAGGAAACACUAGGGUUCCAUCUGUCCAGAGGAGCUGAGAGCGCAUGGUUGGCAAACCUCCAGGGACAGACUGUGAGGCGGUCGCAGGUUGCAGAGGGCGCCGGAGCCGGGCGUGGGUGCCAUUCACGUGGGUGUUGUUUUCUUGAAGUCGAACCCUGUGGAAUUCAGCAGAGACCUCGAGUGGAUUCGAACAGCCUCAGCCCCCACGUCCCGGGUCUGAAAUCAACCGUGUGGGAGGAGCUGCCCCGGCAGAGCUGCGUGCCCGCCGUGCAGCCGCGUACCUGCUCCCGCACCCUGACCAGAACAUUCCCCUUGUGUGUGCAGGCAGCCCACGCUCAGGGGCACGCCACGGUCCAAAGGGCCGGUCAUCCGGAACCCGGCGUUCCCAGCGACGAGAGCCUCACGGGUCUCUCCAGGCCUUUUUCUGGGCCUCCAGCGUGGACAUGGCAGACACACAGAUGCACAGACACGGCCCGAGAGGGUCUUCCUUCCAGCCCUGCCCUGAGUUCCUGCGCUGUCCCGCAGGGGCACCCCGGGCAGCCGAAAGCAGCUUAAUGGACAGUUUUGUUGGUUUGGUGAUGCCAUCUCAUGACGACAUUACCCAAAUCCCUUGGAACAUUUUUGGGACUGUGGAUUCAGGGGCCUGGACCAAGGGACUCGGCAAGGGAGGUGUGAUCUGCCUGCUGCCCCUUGGGCUCGGGACCGGACCUCAGAGCCACCGUCGGGUCACAGCGGCCAUUCCCAUGGCUGUGCUGGUGCCCCCUGGGCCAGUGGUGGCCGUGUGCGAUUUUGUCAGUCGUUUCCCUCUUUAAAAAAGAUUUGUUUUUAAUCUUUGAGAGAGAGACAGAGUGUGAGCAGGGGAGGGGCAGAGAGAGGGGGAGACACAGAAUCCAAGGCAGGCUCCAGGCCCCGAGCUGUCAGCCCUGAGCCCAAUGCGGGGCUCGAACCCACGAACUGUGAGAUCAUGACCUGAGCCAAAGUCGGACACCGAACCGACUGAGCCACCCAGGCGCCCCUGGUCGGUCGUUUCUGACUCGCCAUUGGUGCCGGCUGUAGCGAGGAGGAGCCGGGGUGCCCGCCACGUGCCGCUGGACACCGUGGCCUCUGUGCCCCGGAAGUGUGGCUGGCCCGCAGCGAGGGGCUUCGGGGCGGAGACCCACCCGACGGGGAGACUUGGCACAGAUCGCGAGACGGCAGGUGAAUAACGUGCUAUAUGCGUUACGUGGCCGGGUGGUAGUGUUUUAGACCGAUCCAGUUAAGUGUAUCAUUCACAUUAACUCUGUUUCCGUUUCCUUUUACGAUAUGGGCAGCUCCUGGAAAACUUAACAGCUGAGGGGCGCUCGGCUGGCUCUGUCGGAGGAUCGUGUGGCUUUUGAUCUCGGGGUUGUGAGUUCCAGCCCCACGCUGGGUGUAGAGAUUAUUAUUAAAAAAAAUUUUUUUUAAUGUUUUUAUUUAUUUUUGAGACAGAGGGAGACAGAGUGUGA